rnacentral:rRNA from 1 species
UGGAUGGCGCUCAAGCGGGCGACUUAUACUUUGCCAUUGAAGUGAGUGCGAUACUUCAAUGAGUAGGAGGGCGUGGAGUUUGUCGAACAGGUUUAGGCGUGAGCCUAACUGAAACAUACUCUAGUGCAGAUCUUGGUGGUAGUAGCAAAUAUUCAAAUGAGAACUUUGAAGACUGAAGUGGGGAAAGGUUCCACGUGAACAGCAGUUGGACGUGGGUUAGUCGGUCCUAAGAGAUGGGAGAAAUCCGUUGGAAGGCGGUCGUUUUAGUUUCUUCUUCGACCCUUCUAUCGAAAGGGAA